rnacentral:rRNA from 1 species
GACGAACGCUGGCGGCGUGCCUAAUACAUGCAAGUCGAGCGAACAGACGAGGAGCUUGCUCCUCUGACGUUAGCGGCGGACGGGUGAGUAACACGUGGAUAACCUACCUAUAAGACUGGGAUAACUUCGGGAAACCGGAGCUAAUACCGGAUAAUAUAUUGAACCGCAUGGUUCAAUAGUGAAAGACGGUUUUGCUGUCACUUAUAGAUGGAUCCGCGCCGCAUUAGCUAGUUGGUAAGGUAACGGCUUACCAAGGCGACGAUGCGUAGCCGACCUGAGAGGGUGAGCGGCCACACUGGAACUGAGACACGGUCCAGACUCCGACGGGAGGCAGCAGUAGGGAAUCUUCCGCAAUGGGCGAAAGCUUGACGGAGCAACGCCGCGUGAGUGAUGAAGGUCUUCGGAUCGUAAAACUCUGUUAUUAGGGAAGAACAAAUGUGUAAGUAACUAUGCACGUCUUGACGGUACCUAAUCAGAAAGCCACGGCUAACUACGUG